rnacentral:lncRNA from 1 species
CCUACGUUGCACGGAAGCUUCAUCGGACGUCCGCUUCCCGCUUCGGAACCGGAAUCGGAAUCGGAACCUUGUGGAAGCUUGUGGAAUCUCGCUUCCAAAACGUUUCUAAAAUAUUCUCUUUAAAAACCUGUUGGAAGCUUAUGAUUCCGUUUUGGAAUCACGCUUCCAUUUUUUUUAAAAAUACAAUGUAUAUCAAUAAAAUAUAAAGCCAUAGUUUUAAUCUAUAUAAAAUAAAAAAAUUAAUAGUAAUGAAUAUUGAAUUAUAAAUAUAUAAAUAUCAAAAAUAAUACUAUAAAUUAUAUUUAUGCAUUGAGAUUUUUUAUUAAAGAUAUAGCACAUAUUGAAACAUAUUGUGUCAAUUAUUUAUGAAGUAUUAAAAAUAAUUAAUAUAAUAUUUUUUGUAAACAUAAUUUAUGUGUAUUUUUACAGUUUUAAUAUAAAAUCAUUUCAAAAUUAUUAUAAAUGAAUAAAUGUUUUAUUUCAAAUUUAAAUCAUAUAAUUUUAGUCCUAAUUUUUAAAAAAAUUUACAUAUAUAUAUAUAUAUAUGUAUAUAUAUAUUUAUAUAUGGAUAUACGCUUCCAACACGUACCCGCUUCCUAAUAUUUUAAAAAAUCUCGCUUCUGCGCUUCCUUACGCUUCCGCUUCCACGUACCCGCUUCCGUUUCCAUGUAAC